rnacentral:rRNA from 1 species
UACGUAGGGUGCAAGCGUUGUCCGGAAUUAUUGGGCGUAAAGAGCUCGUAGGCGGUUUGUCGCGUCUGCUGUGAAAACUCGGGGCUUAACUCCGGGCCUGCAGUGGGUACGGGCAGACUAGAGUGCGGUAGGGGAGACUGGAAUUCCUGGUGUAGCGGUGAAAUGCGCAGAGAUCAGGAGGAACACCGGUGGCGAAGGCGGGUCUCUGGGCCGUAACUGACGCUGAGGAGCGAAAGCGUGGGGAGCGAACAGG